GUGGUACUCCCUCCGUUCCAAAUUACUCGUCGCGGAAAUGGAUAUAUCUAGAACUAAAAUACAUCUAGAUACAUCCAUAUCUACGACAAGUAACUCAGAACGGAGGGAGUACAUA
rfam:Triticum aestivum genome assembly, contig: Triticum_aestivum_CS42_TGACv1_scaffold_375293_5AL